CUUUUGCGAAGAUAUGAAAUAACAAAUAGACCAGUUAAGUGAGAUUCUACCAUCUGUUAUUCAUAACUCACAAAACUUCACUUCAACCAUUUACUAACCUUUAAUCAAUCCUUCUACCACUUAAUUUCUUACUGAGGGCCAUACCAUAACAAGUUAGGAAGAGAUUGGAGCAGAAUCUUGAGCAAAGUAAGGAUCAAUAAUUGAACUUUAUGAAGCCGACCAUGACUGCGUCAGUGGUACCUCCUCAAC
rnacentral:lncRNA from 1 species